UACGUAGGGGGCAAGCGUUGUCCGGAAUCAUUGGGCGUAAAGAGCGUGUAGGCGGCUCGAUAAGUCUGCUGUGAAAGCCCGGGGCUCAACCCCGGGUCGGCCGUGCGGACUGGGAGGCUCGAGCACUGUAGGGGCGGGUGGAAUUCCGGGUGUAGCGGUGAAAUGCGUAGAUAUCGUAAGGAAGACCAGUGGCGAAGGCGGGUCUCUGGACAGUUCCUGACGCUGAGGCACGAAGGUCAGGGGAGCAAACGGG
rnacentral:rRNA from 1 species